rnacentral:rRNA from 1 species
UGGGGAAUAUUGGACAAUGGGCGAAAGCCUGAUCCAGCCAUGCCGCGUGUGUGAAGAAGGUCUUCGGAUUGUAAAGCACAUUAAGUUGGGAGGAAGGGCAGUAAGCGAAUACCUUGCUGUUUUGACGUUACCGACAGAAUAAGCACCGGCUAACUCUGUGCCAGCAGCCGCGGUAAUACAGAGGGUGCAAGCGUUAAUCGGAAUUACUGGGCGUAAAGCGCGCGUAGGUGGUUCGUUAAGUUGAAUGUGAAAGCCCCGGGCUCAACCUGGGAACUGCAUCCAAAACUGGCGAGCUAGAGUAGGGCAGAGGGUGGUGGAAUUUCCUGUGUAGCGGUGAGAUGCGUAGAUAUAGGAAGGAACACCAGUGGCGAAGGCGACCACCUGGGCUCAUACUGACACUGAGGUGCGAAAGCGUGAGGAGCAAACAGG